rnacentral:tRNA from 1 species
GAAUAUGAAGCGAUUUAUUGCAAUUAGUUUCGACCUAAUCUUAGGUAUUAUUACCCCUAUUCU